GCUGCCUCCGUGCAGGUAGGGGACUGAGCUCGAGCUAGCUCAAAUAAAGGCUCUUUUGCUUUUGCAUCCGACUCGGCUCCCUGGUGGUCUUUGGGGAUCACGAAUUCUGGGCAUAACAACCCGUCAUCAGAAGGUCCAUUGCAGCGCCACUCUCUGUCACAAUGCCUACGUCGCUCGCUCCACUUCAUCUCGUGAUGUAGCCAUUUGAUCGUCUCACAUCAUCGCGAGAAGACGAAGGUUACCCUCGGUCAGCUGUGGUCCGGAAGCAGAUGAUCGUCCCUCUGACACGUCCCCGGAAGGUCAAUUAUAGCAGCCUAAUGCUACGUCGCGGUGCCUACGUCACUCACCUCACUUCGCCUCAUCCCCUGGGCAUUUUGCCAUCUCACGUCAUCACAGGAAGAAGGCUGGUGCCGGCACGCUAGGCAGACCUAUCUGCGAUCCAGGUUCAAAAUGUUCCCAUCAGUCAGCUGGAUAUAGCAAAGUGCCCAGGAGGCCAUCCGCGUUUGGAGAUUGAAGAGGUAAUGGGCAGGAGCACAUCUUCUGGGAAUAUAAGCUACCUAUUCAUGCAAUUCAUUUGUGUCUACAAGACCUGCUUGGUUCGGGCUAACGUGUGAAGAAUGGAUUAGAAGAAGUCGAGAAUGUAACAAGGUGGGACCACCCCGGAGAACAGCGUCCAGGAGGAUGAGCAGGGCUCUGGAGAAGAACAUGGGGUAGAUGCACUGGCAUGGAAGAAUAUACAUUCAGAUAAAUGGAAUAGAAUGGGACGGAGGGAUACAAGGUAAAGAAGAGGAAUUGACUGGUGGAGCAAGCACUUGGUGGAGUCCAAAGGGGAUGCGCUCUAGUUCAAGACAGCCAGCACAGGAAGUGGAUCUCGGGGACGAGAACGGAUUAUUCAAAGACAGCGAGGCAUGACCACGUGUGGUGUUUGGAAGGCUUCAAGAAGGUAGACGCGGCUGAAGUACAGUGAGGAGAGAGACUCAACCGGGGAGCAGAUAAGGAAGGCCCCGGCCAGCUGCGGUAAGAAAUUUGGGCUUUUCCUGGAUUGGAGGAACGAGGCAGUUGAGAGGAAGCUGGAUUUCGGAAGAAGAGUCGGCAAAUAUACUUAAUGAACACUCUAAAAUACAUUAUUGAAACUUACCUGGCCUGGACAGAUCCUGACUCCUGUUGCCAUCAGGAAUCUGGUGAUCCCGGUGAGUAAAAUAAAGUAAGCAACUCCCUUUCCGGAAGGCACUUUCACGAGGCCAUGCUCUGCCUGAGCGGGUCCCAUGUUGUCAAUAUAGACCUCACGAGAGCUAGAUAAUUCUGUGUGUUGUGACCCAAAUCAUGACUGACUGUGUUAAAAGGCAAAUGUGCAAAUAAUGAAAAAAAUUCUGAACAUAAUACAAUUGCUCAGACGAACUGAGAAAAUGUAGCAUUACAAAAAUUAAAGGAAAGGGGGUGCCUGGGUGGCUCGGUUGGUUAAGCGUCCAUCCGACUCUUGGUUUCGGCUCAGGAUACGAUCUCGUG